ACUAAAGCGGCAGCGGAAUGCAAUAGAUUUAAGCUCUAUAUACGAAUUAAAAAAUUCCUUUAGUA
rnacentral:tRNA from 1 species